rnacentral:misc_RNA from 1 species
UAAAGACUCAAAUCGUGCUUCACUAGUUUUUCUUGACAGCAGAGAUGUCAAUAGUGGGAUGACCAGUAAAUAAAAAGACUUGACCUUUGCUUUUUCGGGCAGUCCUUUCUUUGCUUUGCAUUGAGCCGUUAGAGUCAAUGUAUGUACGAUAUUUAUCUGAACAUAUCCUAAAGAGCCUCAGGGCUUGGUUUCAUUCUCUAUGCAGUCUUAGCUGCAAGAGCCAUAUUCAUAUCAGAGGUGGCUUUGAUGCCCAGGCAACCAGAUGAAUCUUAUUUCGAUUACCUUCUUUUCCCCACAAGAAAUUCCUAUUUUCCUUGUCAAUAGCUUCAGCGAUAGACAAAGGAAGCUUUUUAGUCUGCAUAAUCGAGUUCGGGAGAGCUGAAGUUACAGAUUUAACCAGUGUAGCACGCCCUGCCAAAGAUAACAGGAUACUUUUCCAUCCCGAAAGUUUUUCCAGAACUUGAUUUUAGGUAUCUUUGGUCACUCUCUCAUGAAUAACCGGGACUCCCAGAUAGUUCCCACGAUUUUUAGUAAGAGGAAUUUGGUAAAUAUUCCUAAUAUAUCUUAGGACAUUAUUGGGAUUUAGGGGAAAAGAAAAAGCUUCGAUUUACUAGGCUACGCUCCUUCUGCCCAGACCAACUUUCAAAAGCUUCAAGACACUCCAUAAUAAUCUCUGCUUGUUCACAAGUGGCUUCGCCAAAAAGGACCAAGCAAGAAAACAAAACUAAAGCUAUAAAGCCUAUAGCGUUAGCUAUGGAGUUUGAUUGCUGGGAAAGGAUGGAAUCGUGGAAUGGAUUUGAGUUAGAACUGUUCCUUAAGCUAAGGUAACUCCAGGAUAAAGGGACGAAGUGGCCUACUAGGGUUUUCUUAGGACUCUAAGAAUAAGAAUAGCUUCUUCAUUCAACUUUCCUUUUUCCUUGAAAGGAAGAGUUGUCUUAGAUCAAUGAAGGAGAAGGAAGAGGGCGCAGGAGAUUCGAUUCAGUCAGCUUGGUUCUUUACUUUGCCAUUUCAAAAAGCACUAUUCAAGUGAAGUGAAGUGCAAGAUCCAUGACCCGACCGCUUAGCCUCUGUAGGGGGAAGAUCAUACCGGAAUGAAAUUCUGCCUUUAAAGAAGGACUUUCAGGUAAGCAUGCAUAGCUUGAUGGGAAAGAGAAUAGAAGGAAAAGGUCCAAUUAUAGUAUAAGUAUCCCUAUAUCCAUCUGUCUUGCAUUGCUUUGCUUCACUGGAGCUUAUAUAAAGCGGCGAUACGAAGAAUAGAGAGAAUCCGUCUGUCUUUAUAGUGCAGAUGGACUGACUUUACUACCAUCAAAGCUUCCGGUUCUAUUCCUUUUUGUUUGAAGUAAAGGCUUGUUAUCGACGAAUAAAUAAGCUCUUUCUACUUUGCCCUAAAAGCUCGUCCUAAGUAAAGCAGUUUUCACUCGAGAAGAUAGCUUAAGUUAUAGUUAUCACAGCUAAAGCGAUAGCAACUCAUGAACGAAGUGCUCGACCAAACAAGCAACGGAUUGAUUAAGCGCACUAGCGCGAAAGCCUAUUCGUCUAAGGGCGUUAGGCUCGCGCAGGAGUUUGAUUGCUGGGAGAGGAAGGAACGAUCUCUCAAAUUGGAUUCGGAGUCGGGUGACUAGUGGUGCGGUGGACAAAGGCCAGUCACUGAACACCAACCCAAUCGAGAUGAGAAUCAGUACACGGAACUCGAUCAAUCCACGAAGGGUUCACCCUCUGCUAGCAGCUUUCUUCUCUUACGAUAUCUCGACGUCGCAUCAACAGGAAAGAGCCAAGCAAGGGUUACGAGAGAGCAGCUUCUAUUGUAUCAAGCACUGGAUACGAUCAUAGCAACAAGACCAGAAAGACCGGCAACAGCAGCUACUUUUCUUUUUCUUAUUCUACGAUAAAGACCACCAAAUUCAACUUCCUUCUUGCUUAAGGAACCUAGUUCGGAUGGAAAGCCUUCUUAGGCAGGUGGCCUAGCUAAGAUAAGACAGCUAUGAAAUCCCUUGCCCCUUUCUAACUCUAACUACUGGCACUAAUGCUUGGCUUUCCGCUUAAUAGUCACUCUGGAGUUUUCUUAAGA